rnacentral:tmRNA from 1 species
GGGGAUGUAUUUGGUCUCGACAGGAUUAUGCUGGAUCGCAGUGGCAGUGGAGUGAUGACCUAAUCAUCAAAUUAAAAUAAACGCUAACAAUACUGAAUUAGCAUUUGCCUAAGUAACGUCGAUAUAGACGCGGCAAGCCUGCAGCUGUAAAACUUGUAGCAGUUGCAGAGUAAAUACAAGUUAGGUGAAGUAAGUUAGCCUUCCUCUUACCAUCCGAAAACCGAAAAGGCAGAUUCGGGUCCUGGCAGUCCGGGCUAUAAGAUCCGUCUUAAAAUAAAUUCGGAAUAAACUGUAGAAACUGCGAUGUGGGGCUUUUUCUGGACAGGGGUUCGACUCCCCUCAUCUCCACCA